UACGUAGGUGGCAAGCGUUGUCCGGAUUUAUUGGGUUUAAAGGGUGCGUAGGCGGUCUAUUAAGUCAGCGGUGAAAUACUCCAGCUUAACUGGAGGGGUGCCAUUGAUACUGAUGGACUUGAGUCAAGUCGAGGUAGGCGGAAUUGACGGUGUAGCGGUGAAAUGCUUAGAUAUCGUCAAGAACACCAAUAGUGAAGACAGCUUACUGGGCUUAAACUGACGCUGAGGCACGAAAGUGUGGGGAGCGAACAGG
rnacentral:rRNA from 1 species